GUGCUCACUUUGGCAGCCCAUAUACUAAAACUGGAGCAAUACAGAGAAGAUUAGCAUGGCCCCUGUGUAAGGAUGACACACAAAUUCAUGAAGGUUCCAUAUUUUU
rnacentral:snRNA from 1 species